rnacentral:lncRNA from 1 species
GGUUUUCUCGUAGAAAUAGUUAUUCUAUUCUACAUUUUUGUUGUAUGGCUAGUGGGGCUUGUUCUGGCCCCGGUACUGGGCCUUUUCCAUUAUCUCGGGGAAUUUUUUUUUUCCCCCUCCUCUCGGACACCCUCAUUUGGUGGCAUACUGAUGAGUUGACAUAUAGUCAUUAACGCAUUAUAAAACAUACAGAUGCAUAUCAUCACUUCUGUAAAUUGUUUCUUGAUUUUCAAAUCUUGUUCGGACUCUUUCUCAUGCAAGUGUAUAAGUAACAC